rnacentral:sRNA from 1 species
GAGUAUCUUGUACUAGGUUUUCUUCUUCCCAUUUCUUGAAUAGCUCAAUGAAGAUGCCAACAUCCAUCUUUUUCGUCUUGGCUGCCUGCUUCCAUAGAUGGCUUGAGCUCCAAAUCGAGAGCUUGCUCUGGCUUGCGCCAUCCAAAAGGACACUACCAGGUUCUUCACUGGUUUUGGGUCAACACAUAGCAUAUAUGUCCUUUGGUUGGAGGUCAUCUUCCCCCACAGUGACGAGGUGUCGCUAGCCGUUCAAAUCAUCUUCGGUGAGUUUGCUAUUGUCGAUUUGGUGUACUUCCUUGUCUCUGGCGGUGCAUUUUUCUAGGUUAGACUGAUCUCUUUUUUAUCGUGUUCACUUCAACCACCACUUGUGAGAGGCCCCUGUUGGGUUUGUGGCACGAUGGUAUCUUCUGCAGUCAACCUCCUCGUUGUCAUCACCGUCAGCUUCAUCGUCUUGGUCAUCGGAUUGGAAGAAGUGAAGCAAGGACUAGAUUGCUUUUCGAUUUUCUUUUGGAGUUCUUUCUUUGCUUAUUUUCAGAACAUCAGUGUAACUUGUUUAUUUUUGAGGGGUCUUUCAAC